UUUCCGUAGGUGAACCUGCGGAAGGAUCAUUAUCGUACCAAAUGUUAGGGGCAUGCGAGGGCUGUCGCUGACCCAAAAGUCGUCCACGCCCGAUUGUGUCCUCUUGCAUAAUAAUCCAUCUCACCCUUUGUGCAUCACCGCGUGGGCACCCUUCGGGAUCAUCUCGGAGGGGGGCUCGCGUUUUCACACAAACCCCCCUUUUAAAAGUGUAGAAUGACCACAUUUAUGCAAUCAAUACAACUUUCAACAACGGAUCUCUUGGCUCUC
rnacentral:misc_RNA from 1 species